CCUACGGGUGGCAGCAGUGAGGAAUAUUGGUCAAUGGACGAGAGUCUGAACCAGCCAAGUAGCGUGAAGGAUGACUGCCCUAUGGGUUGUAAACUUCUUUUAUAUGGGAAUAAAACGUUCCACGUGUGGGAUUUUGUAUGUACCAUAUGAAUAAGGAUCGGCUAACUCCGUGCCAGCAGCCGCGGUAAUACGGAGGAUCCGAGCGUUAUCCGGAUUUAUUGGGUUUAAAGGGAGCGUAGGUGGAUUGUAAAGUCAGUUGUGAAAGUUUGCGGCUCAACCGUAAAAUUGCAGUUGAAACUGGCAGUCUUGAGUACAGUAGAGGUGGGCGGAAUUCGUGGUGUAGCGGUGAAAUGCUUAGAUAUCACGAAGAACUCCGAUUGCGAAGGCAGUUCACUGGACUGCAACUGACACUGAGGCUCGAAAGUGUGGGUAUCAAACAGGAUUAGAUACCCCUGUAGUC
rnacentral:rRNA from 1 species